GGUCGCAUGGCCUAAUGGUCAAUGCGCUUGAUUACGAUUUAUAUCAAAAUCAAGGAUCCUAGGUUUAACUGCUGGAGUGAUUG